rnacentral:rRNA from 1 species
GUGACCUCGGAUCAAGGUAGGAAUACCCGUGACUUAACAAU